ACUUCAAGAUAAGAUUUCCCACCGCAAGGGUAAGACCCCAGAAAGACUAUCUGGUUGAUAGGUCGAAGGUGUAAGUGCAGCAAUGUAUUUAGCUUAUCGAUACUAAUAGGUCGAGGACUUGACCAAUAUUUAUU
rnacentral:rRNA from 1 species